AUACGGAGGGUGCGAGCGUUAAUCGGAAUUACUGGGCGUAAAGCGCGCGUAGGCGGCUAGGUCAGUCGGAUGUGAAAGCCCCGGGCUCAACCUGGGAAUUGCAUUCGAAACUGCCUGGCUAGAGUAUGGGAGAGGGAAGCGGAAUUUCCGGUGUAGCGGUGAAAUGCGUAGAUAUCGGAAGGAACACCAGUGGCGAAGGCGGCUUCCUGGCCCAAUACUGACGCUCAGGUGCGAAAGCGUGGGUAGCGAACAGGAUUAGAAACCCCAGUAGUCC
rnacentral:rRNA from 1 species